GGCUCAAUGGUCUAGUGGUAUGAUUCGCGCUUCGGGUUCCACCCAGACUUAAAAAUAAGUCUUGUGCGAGGUCUCGGGUUCGAUCCCCGAUUGAGCCC